rnacentral:rRNA from 1 species
GCAACGAGCGCAACCCUUGUCUUAGUUACCAUCAUUCAGUUGGGGACUCUAGAGAGACUGCCGGUGAUAAACCGGAGGAAGGUGGGGAUGACGUCAAAUCAUCAUGCCCCUUAUGGCCUGGGCUACAAACGUAAUACAAUGGCGUAUACAAAGGGAUGCGAAAGGGCGACCUGGAGCAAAAACUCACAAAGUACGUCUCAGUUCAGAUUGGAGUCUGCAACUCGACUCCAUGAAGGCGGAAUCGCUAGUAAUCGCGGAUCAGCAUGCCGCGGUGAAUACGUUCUCGGGGUUU